GUGCAGCAGCCGCGGUAAUACCGGCAGCUCGAGUGAUGGCCGAUCUUAUUGGGCCUAAAGCGUCCGUAGCUGGCCUCGCAAGUCCGUCGGGAAAUCCAGUAGCUCAACUACUGGGCGUCCGGCGGAAACUACAAGGCUUGGGACCGGAAGGCUCGAAGGGUACGUUCGGGGUAGGAGUGAAAUCCUGUAAUCCCGUCCGGACCACCGAUGGCGAAAGCACUUCGAGAAAACGGAUCCGACAGUGAGGGACGAAAGCUAAGAUCGCGAACCGGAUUAGAAACCCGAGUAGUCC
rnacentral:rRNA from 1 species